UCCUCCGCUUAUUGAUAUGCUUAAGUUCAG
rnacentral:rRNA from 1 species